rnacentral:rRNA from 1 species
GACAGAGGGGGCAAGCGUUGCUCGGAAUUACUGGGCGUAAAGGGCGCGUAGGCGGGAUGGCAAGUCGGUCGUGAAAUCCCUCGGCUCACCGAGGAACGUCGAUCGAUACUGCUGUUCUUGAGGAUUGCAGAGGAGACUGGAAUUCCCGGUGUAGCGGUGGAAUGCGCAGAUAUCAGGAGGAACACCAACGGCGAAGGCAGCUCGCUGGGACGGUACUGACGCUAAGGCGCGAAAGCGUGGGGAGCAAACAGG